AUACGUAGGGGGCGAGCGUUGUCCGGAAUGAUUGGGCGUAAAGGGCGCGUAGGCGGCCCGGUAAGUCUGGAGUGAAAGUCCUGUUUUUAAGAUGGGAAUUGCUUUGGAUACUGUCGGGCUUGAGUGCAGGAGGGGUAAGUGGAAUUCCCAGUGUAGCGGUGAAAUGCGUAGAGAUUGGGAGGAACACCAGUGGCGAAGGCGACUUACUGGACUGUAACUGACGCUGAGGCGCGAAAGUGUGGGGAGCAAACAGGAUUAGAUACCCUGGUAGUCCACACUGUAAACGAUGAAUGCUAGGUGUAGGGGGUAUCGACCCCUGCUGUGCCGCAGUCAACACAAUAAGCAUUCCGCCUGGGGAGUACGGCCGCAAGGUUGAAACUCAAAGGAAUUGACGGGG
rnacentral:rRNA from 1 species